rnacentral:rRNA from 1 species
UACGAAGGGGGCUAGCGUUGCUCGGAAUUACUGGGCGUAAAGGGCGCGUAGGCGGCCGAUCAAGUCGGGGGUGAAAGCCUGUGGCUCAACCACAGAAUGGCCUUCGAUACUGUUCGGCUCGAGACCGGAAGAGGUGAGUGGAACUGCGAGUGUAGAGGUGAAAUUCGUAGAUAUUCGCAAGAACACCAGUGGCGAAGGCGGCUCACUGGUCCGGUUCUGACGCUGAGGCGCGAAAGCGUGGGGAGCGAACCGG